ensembl:rRNA 5S_rRNA 5S ribosomal RNA
GCUUACAGCCAUACCACCCUGAGUGCGCCUGAUCUUAUCUGAUCUCGGAAGCUAAGCAGGGUCGGGCCUGGUUAGUACUUGGAUGGGAGACAGCCUGGGAAUACCAGGUGCUGUAAGAU